rnacentral:tRNA from 1 species
UCUUCCGUAGUAUAGUGGUCAGUAUGUGAGCUUGUCACCUAACAAAUGAUCCGCUCGAGACCCGGGUUCAAUUCCCGGCGGGAGAG